UGUUUUUGGACUGUGGGAUGCAAAAAGUUUUGUUUUUAUAUCUAAAAAUUCUGCAGAAUCUUGUGGGCAGGACUGUUUCUACUGGAAAUAAAAUCUAAUUUUUUUUACUGCAUUGUAUAUAUAUAUUGUGUUUGACUGUAUAAUAAAGACACAAAGGCAACCCCAUAGUCACCAACUAGUUUUGUUCAGCUUUUGGAACCAUAUUGCUUUUUGGUGGACGUGUCAAUCAAACACUGUGAUUUAGAAAUGAUGGUGAAUCAAUGUGCUUCAAGUUAUUUACUUUACUUUAAAAAAAAUAAAAAAUAAAAAAAAUAAAAAGCUGGUCUCAUUCAACCACUAGAAAAGGUGCAUAAUUGAAGCUCUCUUCCUGCUGCCUAAGAUAUGCAGUAACAACGAGGACGAAAAAAAAAAAGAGAAAAGAAUAAAAAAAAAGCAAAUCCAAAUUCAAUUAUAAAAAAAAUAAAUAGAUAGAAACAAACCUAGCAGUCCUACUGGU